rnacentral:rRNA from 1 species
UACGUAGGGGGGCAAGCGUUUGUCCGGAUUUAUUGGGGCGUAAAGAGCGUGUAGGCGGCCAGGUAGGUCGGCUGUGAAAACUCGAGGCUCAACCUCGAGCUGUCGGCCGAAACCAUCUGGCUAGAGUCCGGAAGAGGAGAAUGGAAUUCCCGGUGUAGCGGUGAAAUGCGCAGAUAUCGGGGAAGAACACCCGUGGCGAAGGCGGUUCUCUGGGACGGUACUGACGCUGAGACGCGAAAGCGUGGGGAGCAAACAGG